CUUCAACAAAGUAUACAUCGAUUGAUGCAGCUUUUCAAGUUCGGAAAUGAGACUUGCCCCUCUUAUCGUAUGUGGAUUCGUGAUCAGUGCAGUGUUGCGACCUGCGCAAGGAGCUGGCGCGACGUGUCGGAAGUCAUGCGCGAAGCCACGAAAGCCAGACUGCAAAAUGAUCCCUGGGACACAACCCACAAGGCUCACCAGGUUACAUUACUUUCCGGGAGUUGGCCGCAGGUGCUAUCCACAUCCACAGCGCCUCUGCAAGGGAUACCACUACGAAAACCGGAAUGACUGCGAAAGAUGUUGCAAACACCUUUUUAAAUAAACACUAGUCAACAACUCGA